UCAAAUCUCACAACACCAACCAGACCUUACAUUUUCUCCAGAAAGCCAGGAACUGCUAGCCAGACUUGAGGAUCCUUACCUAUUCAAUGUGUUUGGUGCAGUAGAUGAGCCUGAACUUGAACCACAGCUUGCCCUGGGGCCGCCAUUGUUUGAUCCGGUUCCAGGCUGCAUGAAUAGUGCGAGGGAAGUAAGGAAUCCUGCAACUCGUGGUACCUUCUUCGAUGACUUCCCUUCGGACAUGUUUGACAACAUUGUACCACUUCCAAGCCCUUAGCAGUGUGUCAGUCACGUAGCUGUUUUCAUCUCGAUGGUGGAUGAUCAACUCUUAACUAAUUUCUUUAGUUGCAUUUCUUAUGAAAUUGUUGUGCAUGUGAAUGCUAUUCUUUG
rnacentral:misc_RNA from 1 species